GAACAAUGGGAGGAUCACAGGCUACGCGAUAUUCCUCACCACGGACCAAACUGUCGGUGACUGGGUGAUGGGGGAAGUGACGGGGGACUGGCUCACCCUCACCGUCCAUGGACUGACGGCUUCAAGGAAGUAUUUGCACAAGAUGCACUCUCACAAUGUUAAAGGUUUUGGUCCAUUCUCCUCUGUGGAAAGCUUCACGACUCUUCCAGGUAAGGAAGUGUUAGUCUUAGGGAGCCGUCAUUGCUGUGGUGCAUCAGUCACUGUUCUCCCAGUUAUGCACAUGUUGUGUCCCACCAUACUGUCCCUCAUCAUGGAGCACUCCCUCCCUGAGGCUGACCUGAGGCCCAUUACCUGCAUGCUGUGUGUUGUGGUGCAUCAGUCACUGUUCUCCCAGUUAUGCACAUGUUGUGUCCCACCAUACUGUCCCUCAUCAUGGAGCACUCCCUCCCUGAGGCUGACUUGAGGCCCAUUACCUGCAUGCUGUGUGUUGUGGUGCAUCAGUCACUGUUCUCCCAGUUAUGCACAUGUUGUGUCCCACCAUACUGUCCCUCAUCAUGGAGCACUCCCUCCCUGAGGCUGACUUGAGGCCCAUUACCUGCAUGCUCUGUGAAUGCCACCUCUGGCUCUGUGGGCAUGUGGGUAAACCCUGCUUGCCAGGUUGUUUAUGUAAGACACAAUCCUUAGUAAAGAGUGUGCCCAGAAAGUUGGGUUAGAGCAGGUUGAUGGAUCCUGCUGGGAGGUACAUGGUAUGGGGAAGGUGCCUGCAUGGGGACCUGCACAGAGGAACCCCCAAGAAUGGUGUCAUAGUUUGGGUGAGGCAGGCUGGCAGAGGCCCCCAUUGAUUGACUGAUUGAUUAAGCCAAUGUUAAAAAUAUUAUACAUCUGCUCCUGUGUUCCAGCUGUUGACAAGAGCAUCGGUGAGCCCCCUGGCUGGUGUGUGGAGCGAGAGGCCUGAUUGUGCUGGUGAUCGCUGGCGUGGCAGGAGCCAUGACCAGCUGGGGGCCUUCUUGGCCACCACACUGUACUGCCAUGGUCAAGGCGGAGCCCAGGCCAAGCAUUGUUCUUGGCGGCAGCUGCAGUGAGAGCAACAAGCCUGGCGUCCAGCCUCCAGACCUGUGGAUCCAUCACGGCCACUUGGAGCUGAAGAACUUUGACAAGGGUGAGCGCAGCAACUCCCCCAACCACACCUCCAUCAUCCAGCACACAGCUGAAGAUCAACAACAAGGAGAUGACGGCGCUAGACCAGAUGCUUGGGGCACUCCUGGAGGCUCUGCAGGACAAGGCCAAGGAAACAAAGAGUGGCCAGGCUCUGGGACCGAGGCACAGAGAGCCAAGACGGCCGAGGGUUUAUCAAGACUGACAACAACGUGACGGUCAAAGUGUUAGAGGACUGCCAGAACCAUAACGGUACUGCCGGGAGUGUCAUCGGGAAGGCGUGUUCACCUGCCCCACCCCAAGUGUGGCGACAUGAAGGAGGAGCCGGAGGAGGAGGGGAGUGCCACGCCGUCAUGCAGGCAGAGAACACGGAGAACAGCUCUGAAAAAUGAAGAAAGGAAGGAAGGAAGGAAGAUAAUCUCAGAAGACUCAUACAGUCCAUUACACGUCCUUCAUGUUAUGUUAUUACAUUCCUGUACUCCCAACGCCCGGCCCGGGGGUCCAGCCGCAAUACUCACAAGGUCCAGAUGCAGACUGCGGCCACCACUUGAGCAGCCUGGCUGCUCUACACCAAUCCUUAUUUAGUUGUGUUCUUGUAGAGUUAAAUCCAGACAUCUCAUAUCCUUAGGCCAGGUCAAAAGUAAAGUUUGGUGUGCAUGGCCUCAGUGUUCAUCUCUGUUACACUGCCCCUGGAGGCCGUGGAGGCAGGAGCCCAGCACCCUGGGACACACUCAGACUACCACAGGUGCCUCCCCAGGGGUCUCCAGGUACACAUGAUCACCCAGACACAAAGAAUGACCUGCAUACGUCUAGGGAUUCAAACCCUGGCCAGCGGAUUGGUAGGUAGGCAUGCCAGCCACAGCACCAUGGAGCCAUGUAUUAUACUAGUACUUGGCACUGGUAUCCUAUGCUAUUUCUUCCUGGCUAGUUGGACACCAGAGAUUUCCUGUAUUAAUUUCUUGGGUUUUCUGUUAUAUAUUUGUUUAUUAGGUGUAUCUUUUGAUUUAGUUUCAUCAUGAUUUUUAUUGUUAUUUAGUGAAGCAGCUCAAGGGUGAAUGUAAUACAAAACACAAUUUGCAAAUUGAUAUUUUUAUUGCUAGAACACAAACACACACAUACACAUAGUGACAUAAGGAAGGUCAUGUGGCUAUGUAGGGGGGCGGGUCAGGAUAGGGUCCAUUAUGUGUCUGGGGGAGGGCAUGUGUCUCUUAGGGGACUUAACUGCUAAGACUGGACUCUGGGGCCAUCCCUAAGAGCUGAAGGACUGGGUGUAAUGAAAGACUAUGUUCCCUAUUGUACACCUUGCAGAGUAGAGUGGGAUAGAUAGAUUAAGCUAUUUUUAUCCUCUCCUGUCUCUCUCUCUCUUCAUUCCUUUCCAUUACCUUGAGCAUUCUAAUUUACUGUUGAAGUAAUAAAAAUAAAAAUGAACUGCAAUAGAUAGACAUGAAAUUUUGGAAUGGACAAAAAUGGUGUUGAUGCAUGUUUCACCACCACACAACACCACUAGACACCAAUUUUUCAUCACCACUGCCUUCAACACUGCCACACCACUAAAGAUGCAUAUUUACAACACCAUUAGGUAUAGAGAUCACCACCACCAGGGCUAUAACACCAAUUUUCAUCACCACCAACACAAGUACCUCCACCAUCAACACCAGAACCUCUAAAAAUGCCUAUAUUUCAUCACCACUGCCAUCAACACCUCCACAAAGGCUAUCAACACCAAUUUUCAUCACCACCAGUACAGUAAACACCGUUCACCACCACUCAUCACCGUUUAAAAGAGGCUAGUUUUCAACACCACCACAGACUGACAUCACCACCACUUCAUCACUACACACCAGCUUCUCAUCACUGUCAUUAACACUUUCAACACCACCACCACUCUUCGGGGCAUUUUGAGGCCGAUGCAGAAGAUAUUUGGGAAUCUCUAUCCAGCCCCAGGAAUUACAACCCUGCCACUGAAAACACCGCGGGCCCACCACCAGGCCACUGACCAAAGCCUGCCGCUGCUAUAGGCUAGGACAUAAAAAAGAUGAUGAUAAUAAUGAUAAUAAUAAUAAUAAUAAUAAUAAUAAUAAUAAUAAUAAUAAUAAUAAAUAAUUGACACAAAAAGUGACUACCAGUGCAGGAUGGGGGUUUGGGUCCCGCCCGCCACCACAGACAGUAUUUUUCAGUCACCGCCGAGUGGCCCAACACUACCCACAUGCUGUCCUGGUGGACGCCUGUCAACCCAGACUCUAGAUUCUCUCUCUAAAAGAGGAUCAAAGGUGAGCCAGGCAAGGUGGCACCAAUAUAAACACUUCCCUGCACUAUAGAGGGCUGGAGCUACCACACCUAGAGGCAGAAAAAAAAUACUGCUGACACAUUACUAUAGCCGCCACCGCCACUGCAGCCCUCCGCCCUCCAUUCCCUAAGGCUGGAGACGGGUCUGAAGAUCCCCGGCACUGGCAGUGGUCUGGGCAGCCUGGGGUCCUGUGGCCUGGUGUUGGCACUGGGCUGCUGCUCCCAAGGUCUGGUGAUGCUGAGGCCUGGAGAGCGAGGAAGGACUUGGUAAGUUAUGAAAGGAACAAGAUGGAUGGCUGAAUAUAAGCAAAGUGAUGAUACGCAUUUCUAAAAGCCAAAAAAUGCAAGUAAAUAAUUACUAAAUGAUGGAAUUUGUAAACACAUAAAAAGACAGACAUAUAUCAGAGUUGCUUUGAUUUAAAUUAUGUGAUUUAAUCUAUUACAGGACAAAUAUUAAAAAGCAUAAAAAAGAUUAUCAUUAUAAGGGAAAUUGUGAUCUUU